AUUUUUUUUCAGCCUUUUUCAAAAGCCUGAAAUGUCAAGCCUUUUAAAGCAGAUUAUUCUGCCUGUGUGCAGUGAAUGCAGCCCGAGUAACCUUUUGUCUACAAUUAAACAUUCCAGCAUAAAUAUAAAAGAAAAUCAGAGAUGGGGAAGAUUGACUCAGGAGAGAUUGGCGAGGUAGAUCCUCACACUGAUAGUGCAAACAGCUUGCUUCUAAUUAAAUAUGCCACCGAGUCUCAAAGCAUUUGCUUUCUGCCGCAGAGAGAGGAAGCUGCUGAGAAUGAGAGGAAGAAAUGUAUCGCCCCAUCUCUCCGGCCGCAGGCUUCCUUUGGGCAUCUCAAGAUCCAGUCUUCAACGCGGUACGAGUCGGCGAAGGAGGACGCCCGCUUUCUGCUGGAAACCAUUAUUAGACGUUUGGGAAUCUAAGAGGACUUGAGUCGGCUUCCCCUCUCAGAAAACGUACAAGUGGAAAGCCUCUACAUUUUUCCCCUGCCGAUUCUUGGUGGAAUAUUGCCGGAAGAUGGCGUGGAGCUGUAGAGGGACUGAGACGGGUGGGAGCAGCCGCGCAGCGAGCACUCUGAGCGGGCACAUGGAGCGAGUGGACGCUGAUGGAUCAUGAGUGCGGCCGCCGGAGGAGAGCGCAGCCGGGAAGAGCGCCGUCUCGCCGGGCGCGCAUGUGAGGAACCUCCCGGGAGGCAGACGGAACUCUGGAUGUGUCAGUCAAACUGAGUCUUUUGCAGGAUCUGCCGAAACUUGUGGGACAAGUGAUGAUUCGUCAUCUCGCAGAGGACAAGAUCUUGGGACACUGGUGUCAGCAAACUUCGAGAAUCAACUUUGACCUCUCGGACAAACAAACACAUCAUCCCACAGCAGCGGCUCCUUAAAAUGGGUGACGGUGCCAUUUGAACGGCAUGGAGGGACCGCUAUGAACUAAUUCAGUGGCGUGAUGACUGGGCAUAUUCUUAUGGCCACCGUGGGGUCGGACGACGUGAACAGUGCAGACUUCAUAAGAGCCCACACAAGACGACUGUCUGCUCUUGACUGAGGAAUUGUUUAUGCUAUGAAAACUCUCACAGCAGCAAACUGUACUACCCUGCCAGUCGAGAUUUGAUUUGUUGUUUAGAGACAGUAAUGCUUUUGCCUUUGACAGUAAUGAAUGUCUCUUUUAGGUUCUGGCGCUGGGCACGGACAGUUUUGAUUGUUUGUGUUGAAAUGUUCAUCAUAUUUCAAAUACAAACCUCGCAGAAAUCAAGCCUCCGUUGGUAGGUCAAGGUAUCGUUCUCUCAGUGUUGGCAUUGUGUCGUCCUCCCUGGAGACGGUUAAAUCGGUCGCUUAGAGAGAGUCAUGUCACAGGAAUCUUUGUCGUCGCUAGAUGAUAUCUGGGCUGCAGAGAACUACUUGCCUUCUGGCGUGGCCAUACAAACUGUAUGAAUGGAGGAUGUCUGGACUCUGAUCCAGUAAUUUGAACUCCAACUGGACAACAGCAACAAGUCAUCCAGAAACUCUGCUGGUGCCCUUGAAAACACACUUUAACCAGAUAAAUUAAAUGAUAUGCCAAUAUCCAAUGCCAAUUGAAUUAAACACAAUUAAUUGCAUAUAUCAAAUAUUGUAUGCAGAGAAGACUGCGGCACUAAAUCAUUGGUUGUUUACACUGUAAUUGGUUUUUACACUUCAUUUUUAGUAAAAUAACACAAAUAAUUGCAUACAUCAUAAUUUGUAACGAAAAGCACCCUGAUGAUUACAAUUCAAUAUAAUGAGCUAUAUAUAUAUAUAUUUAAAAUAUUCAAUAACAUAAAAUAUUUCACAAGAUUAAAUAAUCGGUUUUGUACUAUCACUCUACUAAAACAAUUAUACUUGAAUUAUAAUUUAAUAAAAUAU